rnacentral:rRNA from 1 species
AUUGAACGCUGGCGGCGGGCCUAACACAUGCAAGUCGAACGGUAACAGGAAGCAGCUUGCUGCUUCGCUGACGAGUGGCGGACGGGUGAGUAAUGUCUGGGAAACUGCCUGAUGGAGGGGGAUAACUACUGGAAACGGUAGCUAAUACCGCAUAACGUCGCAAGACCAAAGAGGGGGACCUUAGGGCCUCUUGCCAUCGGAUGUGCCCAGAUGGGAUUAGCUAGUAGGUGGGGUAACGGCUCACCUAGGCGACGAUCCCUAGCUGGUCUGAGAGGAUGACCAGCCACACUGGAACUGAGACACGGUCCAGACUCCUACGGGAGGCAGCAGUGGGGAAUAUUGCACAAUGGGCGCAAGCCUGAUGCAGCCAUGCCGCGUGUAUGAAGAAGGCCUUCGGGUUGUAAAGUACUUUCAGCGGGGAGGAAGGGAGUAAAGUUAAUACCUUUGCUCAUUGACGUUACCCGCAGAAGAAGCACCGGCUAACUCCGUGCCAGCAGCCGCGGUAAUACGGAGGGUGCAAGCGUUAAUCGGAAUUACUGGGCGUAAAGCGCACGCAGGCGGUUUGUUAAGUCAGAUGUGAAAUCCCCGGGCUCAACCUGGGAACUGCAUCUGAUACUGGCAAGCUUGAGUCUCGUAGAGGGGGGUAGAAUUCCAGGUGUAGCGGUGAAAUGCGUAGAGAUCUGGAGGAAUACC